UACGUAGGGACCAAGCGUUGUUCGGAUUUACUGGGCGUAAAGGGCGCGUAGGCGGCAAUUCAAGUCAUCUGUGAAAUCUCUGGGCUUAACCCAGAACGGCCAGAUGAUACUGCUUUGCUAGAGUGCAGAAGGGGCAAUCGGAAUUCUUGGUGUAGCGGUGAAAUGCGCAGAUAUCGGGAAGAACACCCGUGGCGAAGGCGGCUCUCUGGGACGGUACUGACGCUGAGACGCGAAAGCGUGGGGAGCGAACAGG
rnacentral:rRNA from 1 species